rnacentral:rRNA from 1 species
CUUUGUGCUAUGGGGGGACACACCAGGGUAGGCGAGACCGGUGAUGGCAUACCGGUUGAAGGCGUAUAGGCCGAUGAGCAGGCAAAUCCACUCAUCAACAGGCUAAAGCGACGGACGAAGGCCGAAUGGCCGCAAAGUCGUUGACCCCAGGUGUCAAGAAAAUCCUCGUUUGGCAUAACCCGCCCGGUGACCGUACCGCAAACCGACACAGGUAGGUGGUGAGAAUCCUAAGGCCCAUGUGAGAACACUCGUUCAGGAACUCGGCAAACUAACCCCGUAACUUCGGGAGUAGGGGUGCCACGGUAGGGUGUCAAAGCCCGAUGUGGUCGCAGAGAAAUGUCCCAGGCGACUGUUUACUAAAAACACAGGUCUCCGCAAAGUCGCAAGACGACGUAUGGGGGCUGACGCCUGCCCAAUGCUGGAAGGUUAAGGGGAGAGGUUAGCUGCAAGGCGAAGCUUUGAACCGAAGCCCCAGUGAAUGGCGGCCGUAACAAUAACGGUCCUAAGGUAGCGAAAUUCCUUGUCGGGUAAGUUCCGACCUGCACGAAUGGCGUAACGAUCUGGGAACUGUCUUAACGAGUGGCACAGCGAACUUGUAGUACCGGUGAAGAUGCCGGUUACCCGCAUCUAGACGGAAAGACCCCGUGCACCUUGACUAUAACUUGGUAGUGACGCUGGGCGUAGCAUGCGCAGGAUAGGUGGGAGGCUUUGAAGCUGGACUUCCGGGUUCGGUGGAGCCAACGGUGAGAUACCACCCUUGUUGCGUCCGGUGUCUAACCUGCAACCGUGAAUCCGGUUGGGGGACACUACCAGGCGGGUAGUUUGACUGGGGCGGUCGCCUCCCAAAUUGUAACGGAGGCUCUCGAAGGUUGGCUCAGGGUGUUUGGAAAUCACCUGCAGAGCGUAAAGGCAUAAGCCAGCCUGACUGCGAGACAUACAAGUCGAGCAGACACGAAAGUGGGACUUAGUGAUCCGGCGGUUCCGUAUGGAAGGGCCGUCGCUCAAAGGAUAAAAGGUACGCCGGGGAUAACAGGCUGAUCCUGGCCAAGAGCUCAUAUCGACGCCAGGGUUUGGCACCUCGAUGUCGGCUCAUCACAUCCUGGGGCUGAAGAAGGUCCCAAGGGUUCGGCUGUUCGCCGAUUAAAGUGGUACGUGAGCUGGGUUUAGAACGUCGCGAGACAGUUCGGUCCCUAUCUGGUGUGGGCGCAGGAGUAUUGACGGAAUCUGACCCUAGUACGAGAGGACCGGGUUGGACCACCCUCUAGUGUACCAGUUGUCACGCCAGUGGCACCGCUGGGUAGCUAUGGUGGGCAGGGAUAACCGCUGAAUGCAUCUAAGCGGGAAGCCCGACCGAAGAUGAGUACUCCCCGUGAGACUCCUCGUAGACCACGAGGUUGAUAGGCUGGAAAUGUAAGGGUGUAUAUCCAAAGACCCUCAGUUGACCAGUACUAAUGGUCCCAAGGCUUGCCU